AUCCCAGUUCGGAUUGCAGGCUGCAACCCGCCUGCAUGAAGUUGGAAUCACUAGUAAUCGCGGAUCAGCAUGCCGCGGUGAAUGCGUUCUCGGGCCUUGUACACACCGCCCGUCACACCAUGAGAGUCGGGAACACCCGAAGUCCGUAGUCCAACCUCGUGAGGACGCUGCCGAAGGUAGGAUUGGCGACUGGGGUGAAGUCGUAACAAGGUAGC
rnacentral:rRNA from 1 species